rnacentral:rRNA from 1 species
GGUGCUCGAGUGGCGAACGGGUGAGUAACACGUGAGUAACCUGCCCUUGACUUUGGGAUAACUUCAGGAAACUGGGGCUAAUACCGGAUAGGAGCUCCUGCUGCAUGGUGGGGGUUGGAAAGUUUCGGCGGUUGGGGAUGGACUCGCGGCUUAUCAGUUUGUUGGUGGGGUAGUGGCUUACCAAGGCUUUGACGGGUAGCCGGCCUGAGAGGGUGACCGGCCACAUUGGGACUGAGAUACGGCCCAG